UUUACCAGCACACACACACACACACACACACUAUCUAAGAACUACUGUAGCGAUCAUUGCCAUGGUGCAGUUGAAGCCUCUGGCUGUUCUCCUCUCCACGCUGUUUCUGAUUGUACCUUCGAUUUCUGAGAAGUCCAUCAAUGUUCACUACUGAGAUAAGAUUGCUGACUAUGUAGUUAAGGUGAGUGGAGUAGAUAUAUCCCCUUUUCCAGUACCAAGAUGCAAAAAUACUACCUUUACAAUUGCUGCAUCUACAGAUAAAGCAGUCUCUGGUGGAAAAUUAGAACUUCAUGUCUUCUACUUUGGAAUUCACGUCCACAACUAGAACCAUGAUCUUUGUAACGAGAUAUCAUGCCCUGUUUCUCUUGGUGAUUUCGUGCUCUCUCACUCCCUAAAGCUAUCAAGAUUUACACCUCCUGGUUCAUAUAUGCUUAAAAUGACGAUGGAGGACGAGAACAAUAAGCUACUGACAUGCAUCACUUUCGACUUCAGCGUUGGUUUUGUGGCACAAGACUCCUUGUAGAAUACUUAAAUGCUCAAGGAUUUGAACAUCCCUUCUCAUCCUAGUCCAUGCACAUUGUAUGUAAGAAAUUACUACCUUAAAUUUUCUGAACCUUGUACCUGAUAUGAUCAAGACUAUAUAACUGUAUUGUAUUUUUGACCCACAUAAGCCCAUAAGCAGUUACCUUUGUAUGAGAAAGGGGUUCAGUCUAACUUAUAUUUUGAUGAA